AUGGGUUGUUUAUAGAGAUAAUGAUCACCUCUUACCAUUCCGAACAGAGAAGUUAAAAUUAUCUACGCUGAUGGUACUAAUUUAAAAAAUUGGGAGAGUAAGUACAACCCAUU
rnacentral:rRNA from 1 species